GCAUUCCUGCGCGUUCAAGGUGAGGACUUUAGAUGCUGGACCACUGCACUGGGUCUGGUUGUCAAAUUUUAACACAGUUGAAUAUUUUUAUAUUUUAAAAUAUUAAAUUGAUCAUUGUUCCUGUGUUUUCUCUCUCUGCUCCCCCAUUUGAAUCCAUGCUGUGUGAAGAAUGAUUCCACAUCUUGGCUAAAGCAUUUUUUUUACGUGUUCCAGAAAUACUAUACCUUGGAAGAAAUGACCUUAAAAAGCUUCUUUUGGAAAGGUCUGAAAGAUGUGGAAAUUAACAAGACAAAAGGAAGAAGGAGAUCGGGUGGAGAUAUCAGCUCAGAUGAGAGGGCUGAGGUAGAGGACAGGUAUUUGAUUUUCAGAAGAGUACGUGUUGACGUGUCUAUAUGCAGAGAGGUUAAUAGCAAUUAUAAAUAUCAUAGGAGGGAUAGGGUGGGAACCUAAGUUUGCAGAACAUUUUCACUAUUGUAGAAAGUUUGUAUUAAGCACAACUGAAAGCCAAUAAAAGGAUACUUGCAGAUGUAGAAUCAAACAUUUUCUUUUAAUCAUAUAUAGUCCCCAAACCAAAAGGCAGGCAACUUAGUGUAGAAUGGAUGGGUGUACUGAAUUGUGAACUAAAGUACUAUGUAGAUCCAUGCUCUGUGGGAGAUUUGUUCUGUCUUUUCUUAGUUUUCUCCUAAGGAAUCCAUUAUUUCUGGCAUUAGGCCUACAUAGUAAGUAUUUUCAAAUAUAUUUAUUUGUAGUUUAUAGCUAAAUAAAU